rnacentral:lncRNA from 1 species
UUAGAUUUUGUAUGUCAAAUUGUGAAACAGUUUACAAGGCUGAGGAUAAACUAGGUAGCUGUUGGUGGACAAUAAUAAUUAGAGAAUCCAUUUUUGGUAGAAUAUUUGUGCAAGCAGUUUCUCAAGAUCCAAAAGCAUUUUUCAAGACCUGCAACUGUGUGUUGAUUGCAGCUAUAAUAUAAUAUACUACUUCUCAGGGUGAGUCCCCUCCAAAGAUAAAUUUGUUAUGAGAUUAUGGGGCAAUAUCUUAAUCACCAGUUUGAAGAAUUAGCCCCUCUCAAAAAUGUGUAUAUUUUCAAAUUGAAGGAAAGCAGUAUAUUCCCAAGCAUCAUUGAUUGCUGCUCAAGGAAUAUUUUCUGAUAUAUAAACUUUUACUACCCUCAAAAUGACUAGGAACAUUAGGAUUUCAUACUGUAUUAUAACCUCUCUGAUGUUGACUUGGUCAAAAUCUUCUUGGGAUCAAUUUGGUUAAGAACCUUUCUUAU